UUCCUGAUGGUCCAGUUGUUAGGACUCAGUGCUUUCACCACUGCAGCCCAGGUUCAAUCCCUGGUCUGGGAA
rfam:Sus scrofa chromosome 15.